AUGCACCAGAUACUAACCUGGCUAUCAAUGUCACAGCUCUGAUCGAUGCUUGAGACAAUCCAUGAUGGUUGGGUCCAAGUGGUGCUAAAUCAAAGUAAGCCUGGAGAAUAUUAACUCAGCGUAUGGAGAAAGACCAUGAGAUAUAACUCAAAGGCACAUUU